AGUAACUGGAUCCUGUUCAAGUUUAUGAACUGAUCCUAAAGAGAAUAGCAUGAUAUGGAAGUGUCUUCCUCUCUAAAAUUCAGCCAGGGAUUGCAGAGUGCCAACAGAUAUGAGGAAGACUGGCUGAUGUUGUCGAACUGCCAGACCAGGCACUGCCAUGGCAAGGACGAUUGAAGAAGAAAGGGAUCGCAAUGCUCGCUGCAGUGACGAUGCGAUGCCGAUGAGAUGAGAGCUGCUUUCUUUCUGGGUUACAAUUGGACAUAUGCGAUGCGACAAGCGUGGACAGAGGCCGCAUGCUGAUUCCCAAUGUGGAUGUUAAAUCCCCAAGCUUUCUAGAAGAGGAAUCGAUCAUGCUACUGGCUCCUGUGCUUCCUUCGGAUUUGAAAAGCCUUUGUAAAGGUGCGUGCCACUACUUCACCAAAUGGACACUCGAAAAUCAUGGAGUUUACUUUGUCCAGAUGCCUUAACGCGCAAACUCUCAGAUGCCUUAAAGCAUCCAUUUGGUUUCCAUCAUCGUCUUACAACAACAGGCUUGUCGUGGGUUAUAAGUGGAUUUGGAGAAGAUCCUGCUCAAAGGAAUCUUACACAAGGUUGAGCGUGACUGGAGCAGUUUUCGAGUGACAUAUCGCCCCAAAUGCUUUCUAAAGCUUUGGACUAUUCGAGGACCACUGAGUAGUUAACAGAGAUGGGUGGACAGCUACCAAAGGGAGACGGGGGGAUCGGCAUCUCGUGAGUGUUGGAAUUGGAAGAUGCCGCUGCUGCUGAAGAUAAGACUUGCGGAGGAAACGGGCCACGUGGAAGAAGCGCAAUUGAUGGUUUGUCGGCCAUGCUUUUGUCAAACUUGGGAGAUUCGGCUUUGAAACAAUUGAGCUGAGAGAUCCAGUCCAGUGAGCAAAAGGGAGUUUACUCGCAAUGUGGACGUAGUAAAAGCCACGGAAAAGCAAUCAAGCUGGUGAACUGCAAAUUGUGUGACCUUACUCGAUCCAUACUGCGCAAGUUGCAACAAGGAGGGAAAUGGUCGGUGACUUGACUCGCCCGAGGAGGACUCCGAGUGCGUGCGGUGCGGCCACAAAACUCGAGUGUUAUCCUCGACGCUGCUUUAAAGGUAAACAAAGAAGAAGACCCUUCCCUACGUGUGCUGCGCCGGGCGGAGCUCAAAAAACAGCACACACUCACACACACAGACCGGUCUGCCGACUGUUCGUACUGUGGACCAACUUGUGUUGUGUGUGUGAGUGUGGGGUGGUUUUUAUGAGCUCGCCCACGCACACACCGCACACACUCAAAGAAAUGCCACUACUACCGCUUCUGCUUUGCACUGAACUUAACGAGGGGAGAAGCAACCUUAGAUUUGCCUUUUGCGUGGAAUGAAGAGGAAAGAAUAAUAUUUUAUAAGGCACAACAUGGAUCAUUUACUAUGUGAGGUAUAUAUAUCUAUAGGUGCUUGGAGGUACGUAGAAGGCAAGCAGCUUUAAGUUUAAAGCCGAGAGAGUUGUCAUUUCCCAGCUCACCUCGUCGGCGGAGGUACGGAGUGUUCGCCAUGGACGCCGACAAGCCGAGAUUUUGAGGAUUUUCUUAUUUCUUCCAGUUUGACUCGGGGAGGCAUGGUAAAAUCUUUCGGGCGAAAUGCUCUGCCCGUACUUUCCUAGGCUUGGAAAUGCUCACAAAAGUUCCUUUCUUGUUCUGUAGAAUUAAGGGGGGAGUAAAGGCCGCUUUCUUGCAGCGACCACAAGGAAGCCGAGAAGGAAAAGGAAAAAAUCCAGAUACCUCGUCCUCGUCUUGCUCGUCGCCAUCGUCGUCAUCGUCGGACGCUGUGGUGGUGGUGGUGGCGGUGGUGGU